UCUUGUAAGUCUUGUAAGUCACUCUGGAUAAGAGCGUCUGCUAAAUGACUUAAA
rfam:Salmo salar isolate Sally breed double haploid chromosome ssa03, whole genome shotgun sequence.